rnacentral:rRNA from 1 species
GACGAACGCUGGCGGCGUGCCUAACACAUGCAAGUCAACUUGACUGAAGGAGCAAUCUGACAGUAGAGUGGCGCAAGGGUGCGUAACGCGUAAGUAACUUGCCCAAGGUAAGGAAUAACGUCGAGAAAUCGGCGCUAAAUACCUCAUAAUGCAGCGGAUCCGCAUGGAUAUGUUGUUAAAGGUUUACCGCCUUGGGAUAGGCUUGCGUCUGAUUAGUUAGUUGGUGUGGUAACGGCACACCAAGGCUACGAUCAGUAACUGGUCUGAGAGGAUGAUCAGUCACACUGGAACUGAGACACGGUCCAGACUCCUACGGGAGGCAGCAGUGAGGAAUAUUGGGCAAUGCUCGAAAGAGUGACCCAGCAACGCCGCGUGGAGGAUGAAGGUAUUCUAUAUCGUAAACUCCUGUGAGAGCAGACGAAAGACAGAUUAUUAAUCUGGAUGACUGUAUGCUCAGAGGAAGCCCCGGCUAACUACGU